rnacentral:rRNA from 1 species
UAAAAACCCCGACUUCGGAAGGGGUGUAUUUAUUAGAUACAAAACCAAUGCCCUUCGGGGCUCUUUGGUGAUUCAUGAUAACUAUACGAAUCGCACGGCCUUGCGCCGGCGAUGGUUCAUUCAAAUUUCUUCCCUAUCAACUUUCGAUGUUUGGGUAUUGGCCAAACAUGGUUGCAACGGGUAACGGAGGGUUAGGGCUCGACCCCGGAGAAGGAGCCUGAGAAACGGCUACUACAUCCAAGGAAGGCAGCAGGCGCGCAAAUUACCCAAUCCCGACUCGGGGAGGUAGUGACAAUAAAUACUGAUACAGGGCCCUUUCGGGCCUUGUAAUUGGAAUGAGUGCAAUUUAAAUCCCUUAACGAGGAACAAUUGGAGGGCAAGUCUGGUGCCAGCAGCCGCGGUAAUUCCAGCUCCAAUAGCGUAUAUUAAAGUUGUUGUGGUUAAAAAGCUCGUAGUUGAACCUUGGGCCUGGCUGGCCGGUCCGCCUCACCGCGUGCACUGGUCCGGCCGGGCCUUUCCCUCUGUGGAACCCCAUACCCUUCACUGGGCGUGGCGGGGAAACAGGACAUUUACUUU